GUGCCAGCCGCCGCGGUAAUACGGAGGGUGCAAGCGUUGUUCGGAAUUACUGGGCGUAAAGCGCGCGUAGGCGGUUUUACAAGUCAGAUGUGAAAGCCCAUGGCUCAACCAUGGACGUGCAUUUGAAACUGUAAGACUUGAGUAUUGGAGGGGGUGGUGGAAUUCCCGGUGUAGAGGUGAAAUUCGUAGAUAUCGGGAGGAAUACCAGUGGCGAAGGCGACCACCUGGCCAAAUACUGACGCUCAUGUGCGAAAGCGUGGGGAGCAAACAGGAUUAGAUACCCUCGUAGUCC
rnacentral:rRNA from 1 species